rnacentral:lncRNA from 1 species
GGCGACACUCCUGAGUUCCGGGGUUCGGGUGGGCAUGAUUGACAAGUGAGGAAGCUGGGAACCCCAAGAGCCAGACGCUGUGGAAGAGUGUUGAGAACCCCACGCUGAUUUGGAAUUCUGGUUAAUCCUCCCUCAGGCUCCUGAGUGCUAGGGUAAAGGGCACACGACACUAUACUCUGUUUUAUAGUUUUGUAUAUAUGUACUGCUUGAGAGAUGUUCUGCUUCUUUUAGUUAUAUCUGUGCUUGUUUCUGAGAGGGAUGUUACAGUGCCUGCAGGUACCUGAGGUGCCUGAAGACGGUGUUAGAAGUCACCAGGCAAGCGCAGGAGAUCUAGGUACCAGUGAGCCACCUAUCACGGGCACUGGGAACCAAACUCAGGUACUGUGCAAGGACAGCCCACACUCUUACAUGUGAGCCAUCUCUCUGGUCACUUGAGUUGGUCUCAUUGGAGCCUAUGCUGGCUUGUAACUCACCAAGUAUUUGAGGAUGCCCUUGAACUCCUGUCCUUACAGCUCUCCCCUCCCCAGUGCUGGGGUGUCAGGUUUGCUCUACCAUGACCAAAUUGUGGGUAGGGGCAUUGAGUGUCAUAUAUGCUGGGGGAGCCUCUUGGAGGAAGUUAGAUCUGUGAUAAGCAUUUCUUUCCUCUGUCCCCCCAGCUCCUGUGUCCCCAGAAUCCUGCAGAAGGACAGCGCCAUGUCCACGUUCAGGCAGGAGGACGUUGAGGACCAUUAUGAGAUGGGAGAGGAGCUUGGCAGCGGCCAGUUCGCCAUCGUGCGCAAGUGCCAGCAGAAGGGCACCGGCAUGGAGUACGCGGCCAAGUUCAUAAAGAAGCGGCGCCUGCCGUCCAGCCGGCGCGGUGUGAGCCGUGAGGAGAUCGAGCGCGAGGUGAGCAUCCUGCGCGAGAUCCGCCACCCCAACAUCAUCACGCUGCACGAUGUGUUCGAGAACAAGACAGAUGUGGUGCUGAUCUUGGAGCUGGUGUCCGGCGGCGAACUUUUCGACUUUCUGGCUGAGAAGGAGUCACUGACAGAGGAUGAGGCCACGCAGUUCCUCAAGCAGAUCCUGGACGGUGUCCACUACCUGCACUCCAAGCGCAUCGCGCACUUUGACCUGAAGCCGGAGAACAUCAUGUUGCUGGACAAGCAUGCAGCCAGCCCACGCAUUAAGCUCAUCGACUUUGGCAUCGCGCACAGGAUCGAGGCCGGUAGCGAGUUCAAGAACAUCUUUGGCACGCCAGAGUUCGUCGGUGAGGGGCAGGUGUGGGCACCACCCGAUAGGGUAGAUUCUGCACGGCCUUGGCCUGACCUGCCUCAACAAUCCUGUCUUCCACAGCCCCUGAGAUUGUAAACUAUGAACCACUUGGCUUGGAAGCUGAUAUGUGGAGCAUCGGCGUCAUCACCUACAUCCU